rnacentral:tRNA from 1 species
CGGGAAAUAGCUCAGAUGGAAGAGCACCCGCUUGCUAAGCGGGAGGUCGCAGGUUCGAAUCCUGUUUGCCGGU